rnacentral:rRNA from 1 species
AUACGUAGGGUGCAAGCGUUAAUCGGAAUUACUGGGCGUAAAGCGUGCGCAGGCGGUUUUGUUAGACAGUGGUGAAAUCCCCGGGCUCAACCUGGGAACUGGCAUUGUGACUGCAAGGCUGGAGUGCGGCAGAGGGGGAGGGAAUUCCGCGUGGAGAAGAGAAAUGCGUAGAUAUGCGGAGGAACACCGAUGGCGAAGGCAAUCCCCUGGGCCUGCACUGACGCUCAUGCACGAAAGCGUGGGGAGCAAACAGGAUUAGAUACCCUGGUAGUCCACGCCCUAAACGAUGUCAACUGGUUGUUGGGGAUUUAUUUUCUCAGUAACGAAGCUAACGCGUGAAGUUGACCGCCUGGGGAGUACGGCCGCAAGGUUAAAACUCAAAUGAAUCGACGGGG